ACCCCCACACGAAUUCCACACUUGACGCCUCCUUUUUUUUUUGUUUAAAUUUUAUUUUAUUCGUUGCAUUUAUUAAUUUACCUUUCUUCUUCUCACACAAGCACAGUGCCAUUUGAAUCAUUCGAUCUCUCUCUCUUCUCUCCUCCUCUUCCGAAUUCCCCUUCCGAUUUGUAAACUCCCAAAAAGCAAUCGCGCACUCGGCGAACCCUAGCCCGGCGAUGGGGUGCGCGCAGGGGAAGUGCUGCGUGCCGCGGCGGCAGAGGGGACGCGGCGGCGGCGGGGCGGUGGGUGGGCGCGGCGGCGCGACGCUGGGGCGGGUGGCGGUGCCGGGGGCGGGGCUGGUGCUGGAGUACGCGACGCUGGCGGUGGCGGGGCUGUACCCGGACUCGCCCGGGAGGGAGUCGCAGGACGCGCACCUGGUGGCGACGCGGUUCGCGGGGCACCCCGACCUCCACCUGUUCGCGGUGUUCGACGGGCACGGCGCGUGCGGCGCCGCGUGCGCCGGGUUCGCGCGCGACGCGCUCCCGCGGCUGCUCGCGGGGGUGGGGGUGGGGGCGGGGGAGGAGGGAGGGGGGAGGAUGGUGGUGGUGGAGGACCCCGCGGCGGCGUUCCGGGAGGCGCUCCCGGCGGCGAACGCGGAGAUGCACGCGGCGGACGAGGUGGACGACUCGAUGAGCGGGACCACCGCCGUGGCGGCGCUGGUGGCGGGGGGUGCGCUCCACGUGGCCAACGUGGGGGACUCACGCGCCGUGGCCGGGGUUUGGCGCGAGGGGCGCGUGGCGGCGGAGGAGCUCUCGUGGGACCAGACGCCGUUCCGCGCCGACGAGCGCGCCCGCGUGAAGGCGUGCGGCGCGCGGGUGAUGUCGGUCGAGCAGGUGGAGGGCGUGCGCGACCCGGAGGCGGAGAGCUGGGUCGCCGACGAGGGGGACCCACCUCGCGUGUGGGCGCGCGACGGGCUCUACCCCGGCACGGCCUUCACGCGCAGCCUCGGCGACCAAGCCGCCGAGGCUGUUGGUGUCAUCGCCGAACCUGAGGUGAAAAGUGUAGAGAUCACUCCAGCCCACCUAUUCUUCGUCGUCGCAAGCGAUGGCGUGUUUGAGUUUCUCUCCAGCCAGGAUGUCGUGGACAUGGUGGCUGCAUAUGAAGAUCCCCGGGAAGCUUGCUCAGCAAUUGCUGCAGAGUCGUACAAACUAUGGCUGGAGCAUGAAAACAGGACGGAUGACAUUACGAUAAUCAUUGUGCACAUCCGGGAUUCCGAAAAUCCAGGUCCUGCAGGGAGCCAGAAAAUGAACGGCAGCAGCUCGGGAGCGGUGCAACCAGAGCUAACUGUAUUUGUACCGUCAGAAGCUAGCCAUCUGAACAGAGAUGCUGCUACUGAAAUGCCGUCGUCCUCUUCAGGCUCUCCAACAGAACAACACCUCUCCUGCGUCGCUCCUUCUCCGACUCACCCUCUGCUUGGAGUUGGGAGAACAUCAGAAACCCCCAAGCUGAUAGAAAGCGAGAGAGCUAUGUCGCAACCAGCGGAAGCAUCAUGGCAUCAAAGGGAUGGUGUUGUCAACAUGGAUCGAUCAGUGCAGCGCAGCAUCCCAACAGCCUCCUGCUAAACUUGAUGAGUAUCUAAACUUAAAUGACACAAGAAAAGCAGCAUGAUACCACAUCACUGUCCUCCGGAGCUGUUGCUGUGCGAUGGCUGUGGUGCUGGCUUUGCAGAGUGUCCGUCAUGCACCGGUGGCAAAUCCUCUCGGUGCUGUUGCUCGUGUUUUUCUUAGAGCACCUGCUGACUGACGACGCAAAAAAAAAAAAAAGGGGUUCCUGACCCAAACUGGGUCGCGUUUAACUUGGGGAUUGGUUGACUUUGUUCGUGUGACGACCAACGCGUCGUCGUGCCUGUAUUUACCAAUAACAACUUGAAAAGAUGUCUUAAAGUUGAUGCUUGCCGUAAUGUGUGAUUCGAGGAGCACUGCCAA